rnacentral:rRNA from 1 species
CCUACGGGAGGCAGCAGUGGGGAAUAUUGCACAAUGGGCGAAAGCCUGAUGCAGCGACGCCGCGUGAGGGAUGACGGCCUUCGGGUUGUAAACCUCUUUCAGCAGGGAAGAAGCGAAAGUGACGGUACCUGCAGAAGAAGCGCCGGCUAACUACGUGCCAGCAGCCGCGGUAAUACGUAGGGCGCAAGCGUUGUCCGGAAUUAUUGGGCGUAAAGAGCUCGUAGGCGGCUUGUCACGUCGGGUGUGAAAGCCCGGGGCUUAACCCCAGGUCUGCAUUCGAUACGGGCUAGCUAGAGUGUGGUAGGGGAGAUCGGAAUUCCUGGUGUAGCGGUGAAAUGCGCAGAUAUCAGGAGGAACACCGGUGGCGAAGGCGGAUCUCUGGGCCAUUACUGACGCUGAGGAGCGAAAGCGUGGGGAGCGAACAGGAUUAGAUACCCUGGUAGUCCACGCCGUAAACGGUGGGAACUAGGUGUUGGCGACAUUCCACGUCGUCGGUGCCGCAGCUAACGCAUUAAGUUCCCCGCCUGGGGAGUACGGCCGCAAGGCUAAAACUCAAAGGAAUUGACGG